GCGCACGUGGCCAAGCGGUAAGGCACGAGGUUGCAGCCCUCGGAUCCCCAGUUCGAAUCUGGGCGUGCGCU
rnacentral:tRNA from 1 species